GGUUGGUUGCCCGAGUGGUCGAAGGGAGCGGUCUGUAAAACCGUUAUACCAAAAAUUACACGGUUGGUUCGAAUCCAUCACCAACCACUA
rnacentral:tRNA from 1 species